GCGCCGCCGGCGGAGAGACGAGAGGAGCUCGGUAUUUCGCCCAAAUAGCAAAUCCGGAGGGGAUGCCAGAGCAGCUCUGCACCCGGCUGGGGCCCCACCCCACCCCAAGGGGACACGCCUGCGCCUUAACUCUGGUGGCGCGGGCGCCCCAGUGCUAGGAUACGCUUGGCACUGAGAGGGUACUUCAUCCCUGAGACUCAUCAUUGAAUCUCCAUGUCUGGCCCAGGCCCGAACAUGCAAUAGGCACCCACUAGAUGCUUGGUGAAGGAGAGGAGUCCCAGCCCAGCUGGUCAGUGAAGUCUUGGUUCACCUCAACUAUCACCUUGAAGAGUCAUUGUCUCGCUGACCAGAUGGUUUCGAAGUAUCCUCACCCCCUUUCCUCAAUGUCUGACUACUCUAUUUUCCUAGCAACACCCGCCACUAUCUGAAGGAAGGAGCAUGAUGAAAAGUUUCACUGUGUGUCCACAUCCCUGCUCUGAGCCAGGCAGGGCCAGACCCGAGCUUCCCACCACCGUCUACAGAAGGAAGCAACUCAACCCAGCAAGGCAUUCUUGAGAGGCCAUGACAAUACCUUGUGUCUACUGAAUUGUGGAGGAAAAAUACAAGAUUGCUCAACGAAUCCUUCUCCAGCGGCUGCCAGUGCAACCUCUCCAGCAGGCUUCAGGAGAAAGAGCAACACAUCCCCUCGUGGGAGGUCUCUGCCUCCACACCCCGACGCCCACCCCCAAAUCCAGCAGGGACUAGACGCCCGCCGAGGAGCCAGUAGAACAGAAUGGGGUGUGGGAGUCUUUGCUCCAGCACCUCCCAUUCAGACCCAUGAGUCCUGGGAGUGCCAGUGCCCUGCAGACCUGUGAAUGUGGCCAGGCCCGUCACGGGGCCCGAGGGCUCCGAGGGAGCGGCAAUCCCUCCCAUUCUCCUGUGUGGAGAACAUGCGGUGCUGAGAACAGCUGUGGCCUUUGCAGCCCGGGGUGAGCUCUGCCGGGACACUGUUUCUUCUGUCCCUGCCACCUGGUGGGGCCUGGGGGCACCUCGUGGGGGCAGCUCCUGGCUGAGCCUGGCCCAUCAGAGCCCCUGGUCUCUCUGGGCACACGCCUGGUCCAGGCUGAGACCAUCUCCCAGGCUGAUGUGAACACACGUCUGGGGACAGAGGUCACCAGCUCCAAGGGUGACACAAGCCCGGGGCUGCCUUGCCGCCCUCUGCGAGGGGCUUCCUGAGUGAGGCGGAUGCACAGGGAGGGCCCAGGGUCAUGGUUUGGAGAUCUAGGAGGUUUUUCAAUGACCCAAGCUAAUAGAAUGAUUAUGUUGUAACCUGUAUUUUGUCUGGUUUGGUUUGGCUUUGAUCUUUGUUACUGCCUGAGUCACCCAGUUAGAACAGGUGCAGCCUCCCCGACCUCCAGCGACCUUUGUCACUACUCAGAUGCUGUGGCUCUCAAGCUCGAACACAUUGGGGUUCACUGAAUGGGCUUGUUCGAUGGAGGGGGCAGGCAGGGCCAAGGAGUGUAGAUCUUCCACAAACGUCCCAUCUCAGCAAGGAUAAAAUCUACUAUGUGACAUUGGCCAUUCUGGCCCCCACGUGUAUAAUCUCUAGGAAGGCAUUCUCAUCAGAUCUACACUGACGAAGGAGCUCGCUGCCCCAUCAGCCUCCCCACCAGCUCCGAGGCAGCUCUGUGUGGGCCAUGUUGGCACCCCUCCAGCCCCUCUGGGACUGCACUCAGGUGCUCCUGUGUGGGAAGCCCAGGUGACAGUUCUGAGGCCGAGGGCCACCCCGGCACUGUCCUCGGGCUGUGACAGAUCUCAGCCCCCACAGGCAGGUGGGAGUCCUGCUCUGGCAACUGAGUGGGGACCCAGGAGAAAAACAUUAUUCUGCAGAUAUUCCUUUCCUCUUCCCUUUGAUCCCCUCAAGUCUGCGUUUCAUCAUGUACAUCGUGUGCAUUUCUGUGAGGGGCCUCCGAUGGGCCCAGUUGAGAUGAGAAUGGGUGUCAGAAGCAGGCCAUCCCAUAAUGAAGGAGGUCUGUUGAGACCUGAAAAUUUGCUGAAAGUGAACAGCUUUGAUGAUCAAAACUUUGCCGUUAGAAUUCAUAUUUCAUAGGCUCUUCCUGAAUAAAAGGGCAACAAAUAAUUUAGGUUUAAUUGUUUGCCAACAGCUGAGUAACACAGCCCAACUGCACGUUAGCAGAAGGAGCAAGAUGGUGGGAAGUGCCUUCUGUCGGACUCCCAUGCCGAAAGCACAAUUUGAUAAAGGAUUUCAGAGUCCUCAGUUUAAAUACAUUUUAAAUUUUUUUAAUUUUAAUUUUUUUUUGAGAGAGAGAGGAGGGGCAGAGGGAGAGGGAGAGCAUCUUAAAAGCAGACUCCAUGCCCAGUGCAGAGCCUCACGUGGGGUUUGAUCUCACGACCCUGAGAUCAUGACCUGAGCCGAAGCCAAGAGUCGGACGCUUAACUGACUGAGCCACCCAGGUGGCCCUAAACACAUUUUUUAAAAGUCAUAGACCAGGUUGGUGGCUGGGCUCAGAAGGGGUAACCCUAACCCUUCUCCCUACAGGUGGAUGUGUUCACCAACCUGGAAGUGCUCCAAACACUAUACUAUUGGGGUUUUUAUGGAGGCUCAGCAUGCAGGCAUGAUCAAUUAUUCACUCCAUUUCCCUCUCUGGAGAAUAGGGCAUGGGGCUGAAAGUCCCAAGCUUCUGAUUAAGGUUUGGUCUUUCUGGUGACUAUUCAGGACCCACCAAAAGCCACCUCAUUGGAAUAAAAAAAAAUGUUCCGAUAACCCAGGAAAUUCAAAGGAGCUCUGUGCUGGGAACUGGGGUCAAAGUCCAAAUACCAGAACAAAAGAUGCUCCUGGCACCAUCACUUAGGAAAGUACGAAGUUUUUAGGAGCUCUGGCUAGGAGCUGGACAUGAAGACCAAACCAUAUAUAUAUAUUUUUAAAGAUUUUAUUUAUUUGAGAGAGAGAGAGAAUGAGAGAGAGAGAGCAUGAGGAGGGGAGGGUCAGAGGGAGAAGCAGACUCCCCGCCGAGCAGGGAGCCCUACGCGGGACUCGAUCCCGGGACUCCAGGAUCAUGACCCGAGCUGAAGGCAGUCGCUCAACCAACUGAGCCACCCAGGCGCCCCAAACCAUAUAUUUUUUAUUAUGUUACAACAUCACAACCAAUAUCGAUCCUUCCUUUCUUCUUAGUGACAGUUCUCCCACCUGAAUUGCUGAUGCAUUUUCCAGACUCCCUUGCAGUCAGUGCAGGUGGGUAACUAGGUUGGGGAUGAUGGUGUAUAAGCAGGAAUGGUGUCUGAGAGCUUCUGGAGACCCCCUUGAAGACAGGGCGUGACCAGACGUGAAGGCUGGAGCUCCGGCAGCCACUGUGGAGGGAGAACAGAAGCCACACACAGUGGGAUGGAAGAAUUCCUGCUCGCUGGUAGCCCCACUGCAAAUUUCAUGCAAGCAGGGAAUGCCAACCUCCAGGCUUCCUUCACCAGAAAGAGAAUGCAUUUCGGACUUAUUUUAACCAGUGUUAUUUUGGCUUUCUGUUUAUGUAGCUGAACCAAAUCAUAGGGAAUAAUAAACACCAGUGGCCACCUCUGCGAUUAUUACAGGGCCGUCUCCCCUACAGUAUAACAUUGCUCAGAACCUGUAUCAGCAUCCUCCUUCAUGUCCCAGUUUUUGUGGUGGCCCUUAGUCCCCAGGCUGCUGUCCAAGGAGAACUGCUGAUCACUCUGACCGCACUGCUUUGAUAUUCAGGACGCAUCUCUCCCAUGUUCCAGGAAAUCCACAGUACCUGUUUUUGGUUCUGACUCAAUGUACCCUGACUUUGUCCAUCCUUCAAUCACAAGCACCCCUCCCCCACCUAGUAAAUGUGAAGUCCCACCUUUCUGAUUUUGUCCGUUUAGAAAAAUCAGUGGAGCAACAUGGUUCCACACCUGGCUGCUCACCUGCUGGAAUCAGGUAAGCCCUGGGCUGUGCUCACCAGGUAAGAUCUCCUGGACCAGGGUUUUCUGCCCUGCAGACCCUGCCCUCCCUUCACAGGCCUUCCUUUUGUGCUGCUUGUCAUGCUGAGGUUUGAACAGAAACAGAACCAGGGGGCAGCAGUAGCCAGAGGAACCUGCAAGAGGGACAUGCGUUGCUGCCACCUGCCCACGGGCUGGGGUUAGGCACACUCCUCACAUGAGGCAUCUCAUUAUGUUGCACCUCUUGAUGGCCCCCUGAAGUGGGUGUGAUUACCCCUGCCUAAGGUCGUGCAGCAGGUGCAUGGCAUAUCUGUCCUGUCCCAAGUCCAUUCUCUUAAUCACUGCUCUAUGCAACCAGCCUUUGGAUCCUGGUAGAGUCUGUGCCCAGGAGGUGCUGUACACUCACAGGCACUGGUAACUUCCGUGCCCUCUGAUGGCCUGUGUCACUUGCCCGCAGGGCCCUGAGCUCCAUGUGAGCUGAGCCCUGGCCAGCCUGGUCACCGGCACUUGGCUCCCAAAUGCACAGCCAUGCUGCUGCCCAAGAAAAACAUGUCCUGCAUAGAAGGCAGGUCCGGAACUCUCCAGAGCACUGGCUGCAGGACACGAAGGAAAAAGAACCGGAAGGCUACUGAGGAAAUCCAUGUUCUCGGCUAACCUCUUUUGGAAAAACGCCAGGCAAUCUUUCUCGACCUUCUGUGUCACAACAAUUAAGCAGCUGGUUUAUGAACCAUUAAGCUGACUGUGCUCAUUGAUGAUAUUUUAGGUUCUGUUGAAAUUUAAGCUGGUUCAUCUUUCAUAAUCAUCCAACAAUGGGUCAUCCAUCACGUUUACAGCUUCAGAAGAGAGCAGCAAGUGUCCCAUCCUGCAACGUCUCCCAAAAUGUUUAUUUUUUCCGUAAUUACAGCCUGAAAGCAUGGCUGCCUGUGUGGAUGGUGGAGAGUUGGUGGGGAAAGCUCCUGCAGCUGCUGAUAGGACUCCAACGGGGCCAUACAGGCUGCCUCCUUACUCCAAGGAAAAGCCACAAGCGAUCAGGAGGCCCCACUGUGCACAGCUGUGCAGUCUCCUGGGCUAGUCCCAAGAGGAGGCUGCCUGUGGCUAGUGGCCUGUAGGGACUGUCACUAGCUGCACAGACUUACCCUGACUAUCUCCCCCGCUCUUUACAUCUUUGGGAUUACCCUGGGCAUUGUGAGUUGCACCCAUGUCACAAACACAAUCCCUGUGUAUUCUGGGGGGUGGGAGGCUCCAUUCAGAAGCAGCCUGGGCAAAUACUCCUGCCCCACAAAACCCUGGAAGUCCUUCAUCUCUACUCUGGGGGUGUGAACAGCCCAGCCUGGUCUCGGCAUUUGCAGAAGUAACCCUCGCCACCCACACUGGGUCAUGGGCAGGGACUAGUGGCGUGCCCCUAGGACCAGCCUUCUGCCCCCUCAGGAGUGCCCAUGAACCAGUGUUUCCCUAGAUGUCUCCAGAAAGACCAGACCACUGGGGUGCAAGCGGUAAGCCCGGUUGGCACUUCUCAGCUCCUGCCGCAGCAACCUCUCAGCUCCCUUGUGAAUGCAGAUGUGGAACAGAGCAGGUCCCAGACCAGAAGAGCAGGGCUGUGGGAAGGAAGGGAUGGCUCAGGGAUGGCAGUAGCCACAGGCCGGGGUCCUGGAGAUUCUGGAUGGUGAGGGAAGGGAUGGGGUCACCGGAAAGAACCAGCCUCCUAGAGACUGCUGAGAAGGAGACUGUGAUAUGUUGACCUUAUUUAAUCUCUUGUACCAAAAAAGAAAAACAAUUAUAAUUUUGAGAGAUAAAGUUAUUGCUGUAAAGAAAUUUAAUUGUGGCAUUAUUUUAAAGAAAAAAUGGCUCAUAUGGAAAAAGUAUUUGGCCUUAGCGCUGGCAAUGUUUCCUUCCCACUGGCUCAGGCUCAUGCUUCUGGGCCUGCAGAGGGGCGGGGGGGACUGCUAUACUGGGCCCUAAACACACUACCACACAGACACCCGAGACCUAGAGAGACUUAAUUAUGGUUAUGGAACAAAAGAGACAUCUUAUCAGCUUUGCAAUAUAAAAACAGCCAUCUGAGGGGAGCUGGAGAGGCAGAGGGCCAGGCAGGGCACCAAGAUCUUCAUGUUGUCGGGGACGGACAGGACAGGCCGACUGCUCCUAGAUGUGUGGGGAUCAGCUAGCACAGCCCAGUUCUCCUGGGAGGCCCUGUUGCUGUCCCGCUGCAGAUAUGUGUUCACGCCUGUCUUGUUUUCAGUUGCUCUCUCUUGGCCCUGGGAGCCAUCCCUCUGGUUUGUUAGCAUCUUCUCUGUGCCCUUAUUUGCCAAGGCCUGCUUCUAAUGUGCACUGGAGAACAGCUUUUCUCCAUUAUAAUCCAUUUAUCCCGAAGCUCUUAGGUAGCUUUAUGAAUAUUGGUUUACAAUAUUAGCCAGAGCUCCCCCCCCCAAAAAUAGCCGGAGAAUUGCUGAUAAAAUAGAAACUAUUUCCCAAAGAAAUUUCAUCUAAAAAUAUAGCAGUUUCCACUCUCACCUCAUUGUAGGAGAGUGCACUGGAGGAAAAACUGGGACUUGCAUCCAGGUGACAGUCAUUUCUAAUGCCUCUUCUGUGUUAUUCCCAGGAAUUACUCAAAAAUAGGAAAAAAAUCUGUGACAAUAGAGGGGUUGUCUAAAAAGAAAUGUGCAUAUGAACAGGUCUUUCCAGCUAGGCAAAACCAAUUUUCUGCACAAAUAAUUCAGAGGAACCAGGAUAAAAGCUAUAUUGAUGAUGAGGGAACUCAGGACCAAGCCAUCUGGGCUUGACAUUGUUGCUGAUGGAUCUUUAAAAGAUCGUGCUAGCGGCGCCUGGGUGGCUCAGUCGGUUAAGCGGCUGCCUUCAGCUCAGGUCAUGAUCCCAGGGUCCUGGGAUCGAGCCCCGUGUCGGGCUCCCUGCUCGGGGGGAAGCCUGCUUCUCCCUCUCCCACUCCCCCUGCUUGUGUUCUUUCUCUAGUUCUCUGUCAGUUAAAUAAAUAAAUAAAAUCUUAAAAAAAAAAAUCGUGCUAGCGGAUUCUGUGAGCUGUCUCAUCUAUGUCUCUCAUUAUUCCCUUGAUCUCUAAAGUGCUUUCAACUCCCCAGAAUUGAGUGUGGGGCUUCUGG